GCGAACGGGUGAGUAACGCGUAGGUAACCUGCCUACUAGCGGGGGAUAACUAUUGGAAACGAUAGCUAAUACCGCAUAACAGCAUUUAACUCAUGUUAGAUGCUUGAAAGGAGCAAUUGCUUCACUAGUAGAUGGACCUGCGUUGUAUUAGCUAGUUGGUGAGGUAACGGCUCACCAAGGCGACGAUACAUAGCCGACCUGAGAGGGUGAUCGGCCACACUGGGACUGAGACACGGCCCAGACUCCUACGGGAGGCAGCAGUAGGGAAUCUUCGGCAAUGGGGGCAACCCUGACCGAGCAACGCCGCGUGAGUGAAGAAGGUUUUCGGAUCGUAAAGCUCUGUUGUAAGAGAAGAACGUGUGUGAGAGUGGAAAGUUCACACAGUGACGGUAACUUACCAGAAAGGGACGGCUAACUACGUGCCAGCAGCCGCGGUAAUACGUAGGUCCCGAGCGUUGUCCGGAUUUAUUGGGCGUAAAGCGAGCGCAGGCGGUUUAAUAAGUCUGAAGUUAAAGGCAGUGGCUUAACCAUUGUUCGCUUUGGAAACUGUUAGACUUGAGUGCAGAAGGGGAGAGUGGAAUUCCAUGUGUAGCGGUGAAAUGCGUAGAUAUAUGGAGGAACACCGGUGGCGAAAGCGGCUCUCUGGUCUGUAACUGACGCUGAGGCU
rnacentral:rRNA from 1 species